rnacentral:rRNA from 1 species
CCCUUAGAUGUUCUGGGCUGCACGCGCGCUACACUGAUGCGCUCAACGAGUUUUAACCUUGCCUGGAAAGGUUGGGUAAUCUUUUUAAAACGCAUCGUGAUGGGGAUAGAUUAUUGCAAUUAUUAAUCUUCAACGAGGAAUUCCUAGUAAGCGCGAGUCAUCAGCUCGUGCUGAUUACGUCCCUGCCCUUUGUACACACCGCCCGUCGCACCUACCGAUUGAAUGGUCCGGUGAAGUCUUCGGACAGUGGCAGUUUACUGCUACUGAAAGUUGAGUGAACCUUACCAUUUAGAGGAAGGUGAAGUCGUAACA